UACAGAGACUGCAAGCGUUAUUCGGAUUCACUGGGCGUAAAGGGUGCGCAGGCGGCCAAGUGUGUGAGGUGUGAAAGCCCGGGGCUUAACCCCGGAAUUGCACCUCAAACUACAUGGCUAGAGCAUUGGAGAGGGUAGCAGAAUUCAUGGUGUAGCAGUGAAAUGCGUAGAGAUCAUGAGGAAGACCAGUGGCGAAGGCGGGUCUCUGGACAGUUCCUGACACUGAGACACGAAGGCCAGGGGAGCAAACGGG
rnacentral:rRNA from 1 species